GGAGAUUUAGCUCAGUGGUAGAGCGCUUGCCUAGCAAGCUCAAGACCCUGGGUUCGGUCCCCAGCUCCA
rnacentral:tRNA from 1 species